UAUUUCUAUCUUGCUAAGGAACAAAAGGUGUUCAUCAGCAAUAGAACAUUCUUUUUGGAAAGAGAGCUCCUUAGGGAAAGAACUGAUGCCAUUAAGAUUAAAAUAAGUGAAGUUCGUGAGGUAAAAAAUCAGACAUCUCUUAGUAGGAAUAUAGUACCAAAUUUGAUUGAAGAAUCAAAUCCGAAGCCUAUUAUAGAGGUGCCAUUAAGA
rnacentral:lncRNA from 1 species